UCUCGCGCCCCACCCUAGGUGCGCGAGGCCUCCUCUGCGGCUGCGCGAGCUCGGCGCGCUGUCGCUCUUCUGACGGCUGCUCCUCCUUACAGUCGGGUUUUCUCGCCGUCGCUUUGCAGUCUACGCACUCUGCCUGAACUGAAACUACCGCAGUGACGGUUCUCCUUGUGGGGUGGACAGGCACUGUGCCGGGACCUUACUGCAGUGACUACCUACUGAGAUUCACUGGACAGACGAGAGCACCAUGAGGACAGUGAGUGCAGCACAUCUCCUGCCAAGACUCAGAACCAGCAGUGUGGACCAGGAAUCUUUUCUGAUGGACAGAGCAGCGUGGCUUGCCCACUGGUACCAGCGUGUAGCUGCAGACAACUCGGUUCUGUGCCUGGGGCAGCCUUCAUGGGCUCCUGUUUGCUGGCUGCAGAGCCUGGAACACCAUGGCCCUGCUUCAGGGUUCACCUGCCUUUGGGGUACCAACAUCACCAGCCUACAUCAGCUGGAUUUAUUCUGAGAGGAAUAGUUUAAGACUCUGCUUGAUGUGCCUCCCGUGGGGUUCUCUGCUCUGGAUUUCCCGGGGAGGUGCAGGGGCCAGUCUUGAGAGACCACCAUCUGAAGGAUCAUGAGGUUGUCAGCAAAACAGCCCUGCCGAGAGAGAGGCAGAUCAUCUCAUGUGUGGACAGGGAGAUGUCAGCACCACCUCUAUCAUCCCCUUGUUACCACUGAGGACACUGAGCUUCAGAGAGGGUAAGUAACCUGUCUGGGUCACACAGCCUGAAAUGAGACUGGACCAAACCCAAGUCCUCCAAAGACCAAAUCAAGGGUCUUUCUACCACGCUGACUGCUCUUUCCUAUAGUCUGGGGCUUUGCACAAGAGCCAUAAAUGGGUCACCUAGUACACACUGCAUAGGAGGAGCUUGACACUCCCACUCCAGUGGCAAACUUGUGCUCCCCCAGCUCAGAAAUACCAUUUUAAUACCAUGGUAAUAAGAGACUGGUUUGGCAGCAAGCACUCUGCCCAGUGUCUCUAUGCUGCCUUUUCCCAGCGCCCACCGCCACCACCCCCCACCCCACCCCCCACCAGGGGCUGUGAGGACUGACCCUCAGGCCCUCGAUGGGCAGCCGAGCUCCUACCUGCCCAGUUGGAGGGGUGCGAGAAGGCCUUGCUGCUCUGCACUACCUUCAUGGCCUCGCCAGGGCCGCACUGGCCUUCAGGCCAUUUAGCAGGGACGAGUACAAGGCGUGGAGGAACAUCUUAGAAGCGGCCACGGGCACAGGCCACAAAGACACUAGGACACACUGUGCUCCAGCAGCCAGGAAGGCUCGUGUUAGCGCGACGACGCCGUCAGCUGUGACCUUGCUGUUAGACUCCUGGGAGGAGCCGAGGACCACCAGCUUCACGGGCAGCCGCAGGUCCAGGACAUCGGCGGCUGUAAGCAGCAGCUCCUGCAGCGGCGGGCAGUCCGAGAUGCUCUCCCCGUCGCUGGCAUCGUCCUGCACUCGCAGGGACUCAGGGAUGGUGUAGGGGUGGCCAAAGGAGCUCUUGCUGCCAGCCGGGUUGCCAUCCAUGCUGGGCGUGAGGACCAAGGCCGACAGUUUCCAAGAGAUGUGGGUGGCAAAGUGGACGCACUCAGCCUGGGUCAGGGCACUCAUGACCCGCUCUUUGGUGGCCACGCUGCCCACCAGGGGCUGGCAGCCCAGCAGCUCUGACACCAUGUAGGCCUCCUCCUCGGCCGACGGCAUCGGGCCCCACAGCCACCUGUCCAUCACUGCUGACGGGAGCUUGGGGUUGCCAAUGACGGCAGCCAUGGACGUGGAGCUGGAGUAGGCAGGCGGGGGCUUCCUCAGAUGAGACUAGGAGCAAAAAGACCAGCGGAGCCCCUGUCAGGCAGCGGCCGAGCCCUGAGAACCUCCAGACAGGGCUGGGUCCGGCCUGGCUCUACUUGUCCUCGUGAUAACCUUGUUCACUCUACUUUUUCACACCUUUGUGACAAGAAGUGCACAUCUUACUGAGACUCACACCUGCUGUGAGCUACAAGGCCUUGAAAAUCAGCAGGCUGGAUGGCAGGAAGGACGGGGCAUGUAAGGGGGGGGUGUGUGGUGUCACCUGUCCCACACCUCCCCCCUGCAGACCUCCCCAUGAGCCCCUAAAUAAGGGGAACCCACUCCUGAUGCAAUAGGGGCUUUGAACUUGUUUAAACUUGUUUAAGCAAUCACUCUCAGGAGAGACAGAACCAAAUUAAGUCCUUUUCAGGCACCAUGGACGGAAAAGAUUGUAGUUCUCUUCUGCUUUAAGUGCUAUAAGGAAAAAUACCACUAAAUUAUAAAGUCAGCAUAAAGAAGCCAAAUCAAGUUCUGAUUUCCCCCCACAAUAUCUUCUGAUAUUUUGUGGGAAACAUCAAGUAUCAAAUUAUUUCAAAAUAACUUUUCAGUGUUUCUACUCAGUGAUGCCUUAAACUCUAGGAAAGAGAAAUGCGUGUGUCUGUUCAUUACCUGGUUAAGUUGGCAAACAGCCAGUUCACUGUUGUCACCAACAUGAAGCUCUCCUAACAUGGGCCGGUGGGCAGAUAGGCCACCUCUGCUUUGCAGGGCGGCCCUGGCUGUGGAGACGGAGCCAGGCCUCUGCAAAGAGCAGCACACAGCUCACUCCCAAGUGGGAUUCAGUCAACCAUGGACAUGAGAAAAACUUGGACAAAAUCAUUUCUUCCACAUGGAACUGAUUCUGUCCCAAGAGAAAUACCAUUCAGCAACAAAACCAGUCAUAGCUAAGAUCCCUAAAAUCCGUGAGGCAGAAACUAACUGGGUUGGAACCAUGCCUAUGACUAAGGACAACAGAGGCCAAGGCAAGUCCCAUGGGGGCUGCCUGUGCCCAGGCCUGGGGUCUGGAUCCCUAAACCAACUGACGUCUUCUCCCUGCAAGAAGGGGCCUUUCUGGCUAAGCUCCUCCUGGGGUCUAAGGGUUCUAGGAGCAGCUGGCAACUUUAAGGGCACUGUCACCUUUGAAGAGAGAGCAGUUCAGGCCCCGGUAUUAAAGACAGCCCCGCCUGGCAUGCUGCAGGGCAGUGCCAGUGGUGGGCACAUGAUGGCAGAAGGGCAGAGAGAAGCCAGGGUUUGAGUGUCUCUGGAUGAGUUUAGAGAAGGGAAGAGGGCUCAGGGGUGGCUACGGGGCCCUCUAGUCAGGUGGGCAGGGCCAGGGGUGGCUGUGGGGUGAGCCCUGACCUGCAGAUGGUCCACUGUCACCCUCCCGAGUCCAGGGUUCAUCCCACACAGACUUCUGCUGAAUAAGAACUAAGUCCCCUGUCCUCUGAAAGCCACCCCAUUUGUUUUCAGUUCUUUGUUGGCCUGUGGGGCUCUUUUCCACUUGACACUAAUCUUAUCUGUCUGCCCUCCUGCCUGCGGCCCCUCCACUGGGCAGACUCCACUGGGCAGCUUGAGACAGGGAACCAGCUUCCUCAGACUUGGCCCAGCCUCCAGCCUGACCCAGAGCUGCAAGUAGCUCCCACCCUGAUGUCCCAGCCAAACAGCGGAGAGAGAAAUGAUACAUGUCAAGGCUUCUUGGGGAGUUCGGAAGGCUGUCCCCACUUUUGGACAUGUCUACUCUAACCAGAAAGCCCACCUUUUGCGGAGACCAUGUCUGCCCUCACAGUGCCCCGAUCCGGCCCGAGGGCCCACGCCCCUGGCACCUGACGUGACCGC